GAGUUCUACAGUCAGAC
rnacentral:miRNA from 1 species